rnacentral:antisense_RNA from 1 species
AAUUAUGGUGGGCUGGUUGAGGGCGCUUCGGCGCGCCGUUUCCGAGUAUGCGGUAAGACCAACCUUGAUCAGUCCACCACCAGC